rnacentral:rRNA from 1 species
AUUGAACGCUGGCGGCAUGCUUUACACAUGCAAGUCGAACGGUAACAGGUUAAGCUGACGAGUGGCGAACGGGUGAGUAAUGCAUCGGAACGUGCCCGAUCGUGGGGGAUAACGCAGCGAAAGCUGCGCUAAUACCGCAUACGAUCUGAGGAUGAAAGCGGGGGAACGUAAGGCCUCGCGCGAUCGGAGCGGCCGAUGUCAGAUUAGGUAGUUGGUGGGGUAAAGGCUCACCAAGCCAACGAUCUGUAGCUGGUCUGAGAGGACGACCAGCCACACUGGGACUGAGACACGGCCCAGACUCCUACGGGAGGCAGCAGUGGGGAAUUUUGGACAAUGGGCGAAAGCCUGAUCCAGCAAUGCCGCGUGCAGGAAGAAGGCCUUCGGGUUGUAAACUGCUUUUGUACGGAGCGAAGAGGUUCUCUCUAAUACAGAGGGCUCAUGACGGUACCGUAAGAAUAAGCACCGGCUAACUACGUGCCAGCAGCCGCGGUAA